rnacentral:lncRNA from 1 species
AUGCUGCAGAAUGCUGUGGACCCAAGGAGGAGGCCAACACAGCAAGCAGAGGGAGCCUCCCACACUGACUGUCCCCACAGCCCAGAGCCAGCAAGAAAGAGGCACAGGAGCCCAUCUGUGGACACGCGUGGUGAUUUUUCUUCAUCGUGUCAUCCUUGGAGAGAAUCUGAGAAGCGGAGCAUUCCUUCAUUCCCUCGCCCAGUGAGCAAAUGUUUGGGUGCCUCGAACGUGCCAGGCAUUGAACGAUGCGCUUUGGGCCUGACUAGACAUGGUCUCUCCUCUCAUGGAGCUCACAGGACAGCGAGGAAACGUCAUUCGCCAGAUACUCCCCAAACAAAUGUUAGAACGUGAGCUGUGACAGGUGCUACAAGGAUGUGACAUAGGACGAUUUGACCCACUCUGAGAAAAUGGAGUUUGGGCUGGAAUCUAAAGGAUGGAAAGGUGUUCCCCAGGCCAAGGGAGGAAAGGGCGCACUUCGUUACAGGGGAACAGCUGGAGUGGCUGGCUGUGGCGUGGGAUUGGAUGAAGUCGCUGUGGCUGCUGUGCAGGCAGGAAGAGCGUGUGUCACGGGACAUGAGGGCAGGUGACCUCGGGCUUUGGGAGCCACGCUAAUGAGUUCUGGCUUGAUCCUGAGGGUGAAGGGAAGCCACUGAAGUUUCCCCAAGCUGGUGUGUGUGUGUGUGACACGACUAGGUCUGUGCUCUGCAAAGGUCACGUGGCUGCGUUGUGAGGAAUGAGCCAAAAUGGGCUCAGGUGCCCAGAGCAGGUAGGUGGCUAUUGCACUAGUUGGGAUGUGAAAGGUCGGGGUACCUUGCAUCAGGAUAAAGAUGUAGGAAGUGGGCGGGGGGGGGGGGGGNGUAUUAAAGAAGCAUUUAGGAGAUAAAAUCAGCAGAACUCGGUAACCAAUGGGACGCGAGGAGUGCGAGAAAGAGAAUGUGUGUGGGUUUGUCCCGGCUUGGGCUUGCUCAGCUGGGCGGGUGGAGCUUAAGUGUUCAGGCUUAGACGUACUGAGUUGGAGGAACCUUUAAGAUGUUCAAAAAAGAGAUGUCAGGUAGGCAGUUGGAUGUCUCAGUCAGGAGCUCGGAGAUAAUAUGCGUGAGUCAUUUGCAAAUUGUGUGCACCGAUCUGUGAACCGACCAGCUGGUGUGGGUUCUAGUCCCAGCUUCAUUGAUCAAAUCACUGCCUGGCCCUGGGACUCUCUCUCGUUGGGGGGGGUGUGGGGGGGACCAAAGCUCCCUCCAGCUGUAACGUUCUCUGAAUCUGUGAGCCUAUGAGGAUGAAGCAUUGCCCAAGCCUCCCUGAAUCGUCCCUCCCCGCCCCCUCCCCCCGACAAAACCGGGGAAAGAAGUGU